AUGGUAAAAACAAAAGAAAACCAAAAAUGUAAAGCCGCGUACCCUUUCUUCCACCAAAAAAAUAUAAAAAAAAAGAGAGAAGAAAAGAAAAAAAAAAGAAGAAGAAAAGAAGUUAGCUGGUCAGCACUCUCCAAUCCGAUGUUUCCCAGCAGCAACAAGAAACCCCAUUUAACAUUUAUAACAUCACGUUAAUAAACAAACCGCUCUCCUGUUCUUCUAAGUUUUAUACAUUGGGUUCUCCUCAUUUCUUCCUUUCUUUUCUACAUACCACCCAGAUCCAUCUUUUCUUCCCCUUUAUAAUUGAAGACAUAAUAUAGUGUAAUUGAUGAGACUUCAUUAGAUGAGGACAGGGUGAAGUGAUUCAAAGGAAUUGUGGUUGUUCCAUGGGCAAUACAUGCCGUGGAUCUUUCAAAGGAAAACUUUAUCAGGGCUACAAUCAGCCCGACGAGCAAUCCACCACCACUGCCUCCAAUUCCAAGCGCAACGCCUCCUCUGAUCACUCCAAUUCUGAGUAUUCCAUUUCUAGUCUAACCCCCCAAGAACUCAACCCGAAGAAGGACAGCAACUUACCUCUCAUUAGCCCCACCAAGAAAGAUACGAUAAUGAGGCGCGGUGUUGAUAACCAGGCUUAUUAUGUUUUAGGCCAUAAAACUGCAAACAUUCGUGAUCUUUACACUUUAGGCCGUAAAUUAGGACAGGGACAAUUUGGCACUACUUAUUUAUGCACUGAUAUUUCCACAGGGAUUGAGUAUGCUUGCAAGUCAAUAUCCAAAAGGAAGUUGAUUUCCAAGGAGGAUGUCGAGGAUGUUCGGAGAGAGAUUCAGAUAAUGCACCAUUUGGCAGGUCACAAGAAUAUUGUGACCAUUAAGGGUGCAUACGAGGAUCAAUUGUAUGUUCAUAUUGUAAUGGAGCUUUGCUCUGGAGGAGAGCUGUUUGAUAGGAUCAUCCAAAGGGGGCAUUACACUGAGAGGAAGGCAGCUGAGUUGACUAAGAUUAUUGUAGGGGUUGUGGAGGCUUGCCACUCGCUAGGGGUUAUGCAUAGGGAUUUAAAGCCAGAGAACUUCUUGUUGGUGAAUAAGGAUGAUGAUUUCUCACUCAAAGCUAUCGAUUUUGGACUCUCUGUGUUCUUCAAACCAGGUCAAGUUUUCACUGAUGUUGUUGGAAGCCCAUAUUAUGUUGCUCCAGAGGUACUCCUCAAGCAAUAUGGGCCAGAAGCAGAUGUGUGGACAGCUGGGGUCAUAUUGUAUAUAUUGCUAAGUGGAGUGCCGCCAUUUUGGGCAGAAACACAACAAGGAAUAUUUGAUGCUGUGUUGAAGGGAUAUAUCGACUUUGACUCAGACCCAUGGCCCGUAAUAUCAGACAGUGCCAAAGAUCUCAUCCGGAAGAUGCUUUGCUCUCAACCUUCAGAACGCUUGACUGCUCAUGAAGUUCUAUGUCAUCCUUGGAUAAAUGAUAAUGGAGUUGCUCCUGAUAGAGCACUGGAUCCAGCUGUACUUUCUCGUCUUAAGCAGUUCUCUGCAAUGAAUAAAUUAAAGAAGAUGGCUUUACGGGUAAUAGCUGAAAGCCUUUCUGAGGAGGAAAUUGCUGGUUUGAAAGAAAUGUUCAAGGCUAUGGAUACUGAUAACAGUGGUGCAAUCACAUUUGAUGAACUCAAAGCUGGUUUGCGAAGAUAUGGCUCUACCUUGAAGGAUGUAGAGAUACGUGAUCUCAUGGAUGCGGCUGAUGUGGACAACAGUGGAACAAUCGACUAUGGAGAAUUUGUAGCUGCUACAGUUCAUCUUAACAAAUUAGAGCGCGAGGAACAUCUUGUUGCAGCAUUCCAAUAUUUUGACAAGGAUGGAAGUGGUUAUAUCACGGUCGAUGAGCUUCAGCAAGCUUGCGCUGAACACAACAUGACUGAUGUUUUACUUGAAGACAUAAUUAAAGAAGUUGAUCAAGAUAAUGAUGGAAGAAUUGACUAUGGUGAAUUUGUUGCCAUGAUGCAAAAAGGCAAUGCAGGAAUUGGUAGACGAACUAUGAGAAACAGUCUGAAUAUGAGCAUGAGAGAUGCACCAGGGGCCCUAUAGCUUGGGAAUAUAUGAUGUACAGCUGCACAGCAGAGCUGGAAGAUGCGGAUGACUGGUGACAGAAGUUUGGGAAAUGAUUAUAAUUCCUUCCAAGUAACAGAAGAUUUAGAUUUUGGAAGUUCAUGUGCUUGAGCAUUUAUCCACGUGCAUUUAUAUUGCUGUAUGACUGAGGAAAAUGAUUGCUUUCUGUUGGUUGAUUUUUGAAGAACAAGGAUCUUUAAGGUUCAUUUUUGUACUCCAGGCAGUGCAUGGAACCCCGGGUUGAAGAACUUCACCGUAUGCUAAUGAUGGGGGCUAACCCUAUCCGUUUUUUAUCAUAGGAGUCUUGCAUGAUGAAUUGAAAACCAGAAACUGGUCCUUGUAAUUGUGAGUAAUUGCCAAAGUUGAUCAAAAAAGAAAAUUUUCCAAUA